UGUUGAGAUAUGUAACAAUAGGCUAUUUGUGCAAUUAGGCUGAUUUUGUAAUUUGUUUGUAUACUCUGUAAAUAGGUCAAGUGUGUAAAUAGGCUACUAUUGUAAUUAGGCUAUGUCAUGUAAAUAAGCUAUUAUUGUAAGGGGUCAUUUUGAUAUAGGGGUAGGGGUCAUUUUGUCUGAGGCAUUCAUUUUUAUCAGAGAUAUUUUACAGUCUCUUCUUCGAGACUCUUCGAUCCUCUCCCUUCUCUCUACUUUCUCUAUCUAAAAUUCCUCCGAUAUUCUGUAUGUUUUCAUGGUAUCAGAGCCGGUACAAUGAUCCGGUGAUGUUAUCGUGUGAAUCAAUAGUCCAUCUGAACUAUUUUUUGAACAAAAUUUGGGAUUUUUCUGAGAUCGAAAAGAUCGAUGAUGGU
rnacentral:lncRNA from 1 species